GGGCAUUUGGUCUAGUGGUAUGAUUCUCACUUUGGGUGCGAGAGGUCCCGAGUUUGAUUCUAGGAAUGCCCC
rfam:Beta vulgaris subsp. vulgaris chromosome 5, whole genome shotgun sequence.